rnacentral:rRNA from 1 species
GGGUUGUGAGGUUAAGCGACUAAGCGUACACGGUGGAUGCCCUGGCAGUCAGAGGCGAUGAAGGACGUGCUAAUCUGCGAAAAGCGCCGGCGAGGUGAUAUGAACCUUUGACCCGGCGAUGUCCGAAUGGGGAAACCCAGUGCAAUCCGUUGCACUAUCGUUAACUGAAUACAUAGGUUAACGAGGCGAACCGGGGGAACUGAAACAUCUAAGUACCCCGAGGAAAAGAAAUCAACCGAGAUUCCCCCAGUAGCGGCGAGCGAACGGGGAGCAGCCCGGAGUCUGAAUCAGCUUGUGUGUUAGUGGAACGGUCUGGAAAGUCCGGCGAUACAGGGUGAUAGCCCCGUACACGAAAGCACACAUGCUGUGAACUCGAAGAGUAGGGCGGGACACGUGGUAUCCUGUCUGAAUAUGGGGGGACCAUCCUCCAAGGCUAAAUACUCCUGACUGACCGAUAGUGAACCAGUACCGUGAGGGAAAGGCGAAAAGAACCCCGGCGAGGGGAGUGAAAAAGAACCUGAAACCGUGUACGUACAAGCAGUGGGAGCCUCUUUAUGGGGUGACUGCGUACCUUUUGUAUAAUGGGUCAGCGACUUAUAUUCUGUAGCAAGGUUAACCGUAUAGGGGAGCCGAAGGGAAACCGAGUCUUAACUGGGCGUUAAGUUGCAGGGUAUAGACCCGAAACCCGGUGAUCUAGCCAUGGGCAGGUUGAAGGUUGGGUAACACUAACUGGAGGACCGAACCGACUAAUGUUGAAAAAUUAGCGGAUGACCUGUGGCUGGGGGUGAAAGGCCAAUCAAACCGGGAGAUAGCUGGUUCUCCCCGAAAGCUAUUUAGGUAGCGCCUCGUGAACUCAUCUUCGGGGGUAGAGCACUGUUUCGGCUAGGGGGCCAUCCCGGCUUACCAACCCGAUGCAAACUACGAAUACCGAAGAAUGUUAUCACGGGAGACACACGGCGGGUGCUAACGUCCGUCGUGAAGAGGGAAACAACCCAGACCGCCAGCUAAGGUCCCAAAGUCAUGGUUAAGUGGGAAACGAUGUGGGAAGGCACAGACAGCCAGGAUGUUGGCUUAGAAGCAGCCAUCAUUUAAAGAAAGCGUAAUAGCUCACUGGUCGAGUCGGCCUGCGCGGAAGAUGUAACGGGGCUAAACCAUGCACCGAAGCUGCGGCAGCGACACUAUGUGUUGUUGGGUAGGGGAGCGUUCUGUAAGCCGUUGAAGGUGUGCUGUGAGGCAUGCUGGAGGUAUCAGAAGUGCGAAUGCUGACAUAAGUAACGAUAAAGCGGGUGAAAAGCCCGCUCGCCGGAAGACCAAGGGUUCCUGUCCAACGUUAAUCGGGGCAGGGUGAGUCGACCCCUAAGGCGAGGCCGAAAGGCGUAGUCGAUGGGAAACAGGUUAAUAUUCCUGUACUUGGUGUUACUGCGAAGGGGGGACGGAGAAGGCUAUGUCAGCCGGGCGACGGUUGUCCCGGUUUAAGCAUGUAGGCGGAGGUUCCAGGUAAAUCCGGUACCUUGUUAACGCUGAGGUGUGAUGACGAGGCACUACGGUGCUGAAGUGAUAAAUGCCCUGCUUCCAGGAAAAGCCUCUAAGCAUCAGGUAACACGAAAUCGUACCCCAAACCGACACAGGUGGUCAGGUAGAGAAUACCAAGGCGCUUGAGAGAACUCGGGUGAAGGAACUAGGCAAAAUGGUGCCGUAACUUCGGGAGAAGGCACGCUGAUAUGUAGGUGAAGCCCCUGCGGGCGGAGCUGAAAUCAGUCGAAGAUACCAGCUGGCUGCAACUGUUUAUUAAAAACACAGCACUGUGCAAACACGAAAGUGGACGUAUACGGUGUGACGCCUGCCCGGUGCCGGAAGGUUAAUUGAUGGGGUUAGCGGCAACGCGAAGCUCUUGAUCGAAGCCCCGGUAAACGGCGGCCGUAACUAUAACGGUCCUAAGGUAGCGAAAUUCCUUGUCGGGUAAGUUCCGACCUGCACGAAUGGCGUAAUGAUGGCCAGGCUGUCUCCACCCGAGACUCAGUGAAAUUGAACUCGCUGUGAAGAUGCAGUGUACCCGCGGCAAGACGGAAAGACCCCGUGAACCUUUACUAUAGCUUGACACUGAACACUGGUCCUUGAUGUGUAGGAUAGGUGGGAGGCUUUGAAGCGUGGACGCCAGUCUGCGUGGAGCCAACCUUGAAAUACCACCCUUUAAUGGCUGGUGUUCUAACGUAGACCCGUAAUCCGGGUUGCGGACAGUGUCUGGUGGGUAGUUUGACUGGGGCGGUCUCCUCCCAAAGAGUAACGGAGGAGCACGAAGGUUGGCUAAUCCUGGUCGGACAUCAGGAGGUUAGUGCAAUGGCAUAAGCCAGCUUGACUGCGAGCGUGACGGCGCGAGCAGGUGCGAAAGCAGGUCAUAGUGAUCCGGUGGUUCUGAAUGGAAGGGCCAUCGCUCAACGGAUAAAAGGUACUCCGGGGAUAACAGGCUGAUACCGCCCAAGAGUUCAUAUCGACGGCGGUGUUUGGCACCUCGAUGUCGGCUCAUCACAUCCUGGGGCUGAAGUAGGUCCCAAGGGUAUGGCUGUUCGCCAUUUAAAGUGGUACGCGAGCUGGGUUUAGAACGUCGUGAGACAGUUCGGUCCCUAUCUGCCGUGGGCGCUGGAGAAUUGAGGGGGGCUGCUCCUAGUACGAGAGGACCGGAGUGGACGCAUCACUGGUGUUCGGGUUGUCAUGCCAAUGGCACUGCCCGGUAGCUAAAUGCGGAAGAGAUAAGUGCUGAAAGCAUCUAAGCACGAAACUUGCCCCGAGAUGAGUUCUCCCUGAGACUUUAAGUCUCCUGAAGGAACGUUGAAGACGACGACGUUGAUAGGUCGGGUGUGUAAGCGCAGCGAUGCGUUGAGCUAACCGAUACUAAUGAACCGUGAGGCUUAACCUUACAACGCCGAAGCUGUU